CCUACGGGAGGCAGCAGUGAGGAAUAUUGGACAAUGGGCGCAAGCCUGAUCCAGCCAUGCCGCGUGCAGGAAGAAGCAUCUAUGGUGUGUAAACUGCUUUUGUACAGGAAGAAACACUCCCUCGUGAGGGAGCUUGACGGUACUGUAAGAAUAAGGACCGGCUAACUCCGUGCCAGCAGCCGCGGUAAUACGGAGGGUCCGAGCGUUAUCCGGAAUCAUUGGGUUUAAAGGGUCCGUAGGCGGUUUAAUAAGUCAGUGGUGAAAUCUGGUCGCUCAACGAUCAAACGGCCAUUGAUACUGUUAGACUUGAAUUAUAAGGAAGUAACUAGAAUAUGUAGUGUAGCGGUGAAAUGCUUAGAUAUUACAUGGAAUACCAAUUGCGAAGGCAGGUUACUACUUAUGGAUUGACGCUGAUGGACGAAAGCGUGGGGAGCGAACAGGAUUAGAUACCCUGGUAGUCCACGCCGUAAACGAUGGAUACUAGCUGUUCGGAGCAAUUNUGAGUGNGUAGAGAAGUAGAUAAGUAUACCACCGUCGGGUAGGUACGGUUACGUCGAAGAAGUAGAACGUAACGAAAGAAAGUUAGUACGGACGUGAGACGUAGACGACGGACGACGACGAGGGAGGAGGAG
rnacentral:rRNA from 1 species